UAGUUGUUUUCGCUUGCUUGUUUUUUGCUGUGGGCGGAGCCUGUAGCUUAAAAGCAGGGCUUUGUUCCACUUUGAGUCAGUCUGUGGCUAGACUCCUGAGAAGUAACACUGAAAGUGAUGAACUUUUGCACUAAAGGUACUGCUGUUUGUCCGUUUUAACCUGCCCUAGACGUCCUUUGUACAUGUUCUGCACCUCUCUGAUUUGUUCACCUGAAGAAAAGCUUAAUAAAUUUCACUAAAGUGAUCUCUGGCCGAGACCAGUCGUUUAUGUUUGACCAAGUCAUAAGAGAACCCCGUCACAUAUGGUGUCAGAAGUGGGAUUAUGGCGAACGAAAGAAGAGGAUCUCGUCUGGUGAAGCAAAGAUCUAGUCUUCGAUCACAAUCAAAGAUGAAAGAACAGGUGGCUGACAAAACAUGGGAGAGCAUAUCAAUGACGCAUGGAUCAGAUGAGGAAGGUGAACCAAAACCUGGCCCCAGUGGAUCAAGUGCGUUUUUCACUUUGAUGAAGGACUUUAUGGCAGGUCAGCAAAAGCGAGAGAAAGAGCUGCUGAAAGAACUGCGAAACCUUAGGAUGUCCCUACAGCAACCACAGCAAGAACCACUUCCUCACCUUCAGUCAGGAGUUGAUGCAGAACAAAGUGAUGAUGACGAUAACGAUGAUGGUGAUGACGACGACAGUGAUCAAGAACAGGUGGCUGACAAAGCAUGGGAGAGCAUGCCAACAAUUCAUGCAUAUUUGAGGAAUCGUUGAAUCUAUGGGAUGUCUAAACACUUGUUCAAAGCGUUACCUAUUUACCCAAAGCUUGGCCUUAGUUCCCAGCUUCGUCUCUGCUCCACUAGACUGGCGGUAGCAGCAAUUAGCAAACAUCUGGUGGAACUGCAUUUCUGCUGAGCGUAGGAACUACAUGGUUCUUAUGAACGUUCUUAAGAACUAGGAACUAAACCAUACCUAAGAACGCUUGUAAAUGCCAUCAAUGGAUGGCUUGAAGAAGCAUUGCGUGAUGACGUGCUGAAGUGUCAGAAAGGAUAGGGGGUUCUUAAAGAGACAGGGGCCAAUUUCAAGGUGUUGGAUAUAGCAAUGAUCAAAAGUCAAAUUUCUUUUCAGUUAUGUUUGAUACAGCAAAGCCCAGAAUAUAAAUGAUUUUCUAUGGUGGAAGGUACAUCACAGUUCGAGUUGUCAUGAACCUUGUAAUUAGCAUUAAUUUCUCUGACUUUGGGGAGCUCUGGCAUGGCUAUCUGAAUGGUCUUCUUUACUGCAGGUAAGAUCAGCUGCUGUGGCUCUGCCGCUGAGUGGAACUGUGUAAAAUGGUUCCUCAUGUUUGACAUAUUUUAGAUUACCAAGAUAAAAUGGUGAGGCUGCAGGAUGCAGUUGAAUGUCAGUUUAGGUGAUCAUUUUAUGCUUUGUUCUGUUUUAACCUUCCUCAAAAUUGCCAUGCCAUACAUUAACAGGAAAGUUAUCAAGUCUUGGUGUUUGUUAAUUGAGUCAGAAUCGUCAACAUCUGGAUAGAUUUUAUUUCCCACCCAUAAAGUGUGUAUGGAACAAUUGUUUGAUAAUCAAUUCUUCAGAUUAACUUAAAUCAAUAACGGCACACUUGAAUUUUCCCUGCAAAAUUUGUCUAAACACACACACACACACUCUGAAUGCUUCAACUUCUUAUCUUUCCGUUUGAUGUCUAUUUAGGGGACAGUGUCUCAGUAAAAUGAUAUUCUUCAGCUUUAAGACAAGGGUGAAACCUUACUCUCUUCCCUCCUUGAAACUUGACUAACAAGAUAAGAGAAGAAAAGAAUAGAUUAGAAAAGAAAGUGAGCUAGGGGCUGCCAGUCCCAUAAAAAGACCGCCUACCUGAGCCAGAGGGAGAAAAACACAUCAAACGUAAAUGCCACGUUUUAAUAGAGGUAGGUUUUCAAAUGGCAGGCAGAUAAUACUACAGUGUGAGGUAACGGCAAAAUAAAAACACUUUCUGCUUCAGUAAGCUAGCAGACGCCACGACAAGACGAACCACUCUAACCAGCCAGACCAGGUAUGUUUGACUGCAGUACGUUAAGAGUGAAACAUUGUUUGGGGAGUUGUAAAGGUAGCUCAAACAGGAAGUUAAGGGAGACCUAGCAGGAUAUAACAGUGUGUUUAUUCAAUGCUCAGGACAGGGCAAGAGAAUCGAACAUACAGUGUGAACACAGGAACAUGCAAUAUGCUCAACAACUAAUAUGAACAUAUCAAUCAGCACAAACCUGAGCAGCACAUUUAGACUAUUUUAUGUGAAACAAUUUACAUCUGUUCAUUUGGGAGUCUGGAAAAUAAGACAGCCUCCCAGAGCUAAAUGAUGUGCUGACUACAGAUCUCUGCAAGACCCAAUUGCAGCACGCUAUCAAUACUGUCAUAAAUUUAGGUAAACUGAAAAAGAAAUGCAGCAGUGAGAACAUAUUUUAUACACAAUACAGUGAGUCUUAGCUAGUUAAUAAAGCUCAGCAACCAAGCCAAGCUAAUGAUUUGUACCAAAUCAAAUUGGAAAGAAGGAUAGGUCAAGCCUUCUGAACGCAGGUUAGUUGUAACAUUAUGACCACUGAUGACAAAGUGAAGAACACCACUCAAAUUCUUAAGAGGUUCUGCUGGGAAGGUCUAUGUCCUGGUAUUCACAGGAAUGUUACUUUUGAUAAACUACCUUGAUGUAGAUACCUAAACAAUUCUGUUUUCCAGUCUAACUCUUAAAAUACAUUAACACCACUUUAUCCCUCCCCUAGCAGGACAGCAGGAGGUCUGGCUAAUAACAGCUUAAGAACGGCUUAAAGAAGACAACAUAGCUGUUUUCAAACAUGCACCAAAGUCUUGAAAAGUUGCAGCAACGUGGUCUGUCAGCUGCAUUCGCUGAAGGCUUCAACUUAUUUUUAUAUCACCUAAAAUAAAUCAACUCUUGGAAGAAUAAUAGUCACAUCACGUUUAGUGAAUGAGAAAAAGAGUGUGUACGAUAAGGUCCAAUAAUAACUAUGAUGAACUUCAUAUCAAGGAGAACAAGUGAAAGAAAAGCUAAAGUGGUGAGAUCUGUCCCCUCACUGUAUUCUAAGGUUGCAGGUGACCCUAAAUUGACCUUAUUAUGUUUACAGCUGUGAUUCUUGUUGUUGUGCUGCUAACUUGACCCCUUGUAGACUGAGACUUAUGUUGGGUCAACCCAGCAAACUGGAUGUCAACUAGUAUUUUUACCACUGCUUCAAAGUCCCACCAACAAAUUAUACAAGACAGCCUUUUUGCAUGAUAUCCUUUAUCUAGAAAGAAAGCAAAACUGAUUGCACUUUCCAAAGAAAUUUGAAGAAAAAUAACUUAAUCUGACAGCUUCAGAACACCAAAGAUAAAGCUUUUCAAUAUUCUCUUUUUAAAUAAUAAGUAAAAAAAAAUAGUGAUGUAAUAAAAAUCUUAUCUCUAUAAUAAGAUAACAUUUGUAACCAAAAAGAGGACGAGAUGAAGCAAGAAUAAUUAGCUGUUUCGUUGGUUUUUUGGGGACUUUCCUGAUAUGGAACCAUUACUUUCAUGUAUGAACAGUUUUUUUUUUUUUAAUAAACCUUCAUAGUUACCUCCCUCCCUCUAGUCUGAGCUCUGGUGUGAUGCUGCUGUGCUUUAACAGGAAAGAAGAAGAGGAAACGAGAUGAUCUCAAGUGGGAGGAAUGCUGCUGUUUAGCAAUCCUCAGGACGUGGUCAUGGAUUGCUUGGAGGUCCUAAACACUGAUGAACACCAAUAAAAGCUCAGGGUGUGCUGACAACAUCGUGAAUUUUUAAACCCAUUUUCUCACACUUUUUUUCCCUCUCACUUCACUACUAUCUUAUACAUUAAGUUUGUAAAAAAAAAAAAUCACUUUUGAUCAUUUUGAUUAGAAGUUGAAAAGACACCAAUGCAUACUAAAGUAUCAAGAUUUCCCAAUCUAAAACAAAUACAUUUAACAAACUUUUCUUAAUCAUACAGCCUGAUUCAUUCUGAAAGCUUUUUAUGUGGAGACGUGAUUGCUGUGUUUAUAAAUAUGCAUUUUUGUUCACGUGGUAAGUAAAAAUAAAAUUCUUUGCUGCUCUGAAAUCGCCUUUAUAUAGUUCAGAAGAAUCCAGUGGAAAGAUGAUGAUUAUAUGCACACUUCUCCAGCGGAUGGCAAAAAUCGGCUUAAACUGGAAACACAAAAAACAAAAACAAAUUAAACCACAAUAAAGAAGAAGUGUGAAAUAUGAUAAGGAACAAAAGCAAAAGGCCAACAUCAUUGGUUAGACAACCACAGCACGAUUCUCUGUGCCAGCUGAGCACAAACAUCUGCUACAUUCUGUUAUUUCGGUCAUCUUAGUGAUUUGCUUCAGCUUUUGUUAGGCAUCACAAUUAUCUCAUACGAAUUUCCCUUUUGUCUGCAUGAAUAUUUGUAGGACAGUAAAAUGCUGAUGUCAUUAUGACUCUACGUCAAAGUUGUUUCAUUGCAAACAGGUAGAUGUAAUCCAGUGACAACUUUUUCAUUACAAACUUGCUUAGAUGGAACCACUAAAAUAUAUUUUUUCUAUAGUUGGAUGGGGAAAUCAUGAUCUGAAGUCUGUUUUUGCUAUGCACCCUAAGCAGAAAGACCUCAACACUGUUUAUUUAUUGCAACUCGUGUCAUCAUAGCUUUCACCAACAUUAUCACACAUGCAUGUUUUUCUAAUAUCAUCUUGCUCUACUCCGUUGUCUACCUCUGGUAAAAAAACUAAUCAGUUUUGUGCAACUUCUAUGUUCUGAAGUUUCAACACGUGUUGCUUUUUUAGUUUCUGAAUUGUGUCACAUUCUCAUUCUGUGUCUCUCCCUUAAUGGAAAUUUGUCAUGUUGAAACUGAGACUGCAGUUGAAUCUUCUACUAAAGAGUGAGAUCAUCAUCAGUCAGGAAACCAAAAUGUUCGGUUACUGUUGAAUAGGCCCCUUAUAGAUCACCGUUGUGUGUUCAACACUCAACCACUAACCCCUGCGCUGCAGAUCGUUUUGUCAAUCACGAAUGACAAAGUGAUAGAUCACAUGGUUGUGUGAACUUUCAGAUCAAGAUCAAGAUCAAGAUUGUGGACUCAAAGUGUUGAGGGCAAUAACUCAACAGCUCGGACAUGAGAAUGUGCAAUAAGAGUUGCUUUGGGCAUUUCCCCAACAAUACACAAAAGCCGACAAAGCAAAUAAAGCCAAACUAUUAAGUGAAAUUUGGGUGCUAUUAGUCAAUCAUUUGCUAAACAACAGCACAACCUUUGCUAAGCACCAGUUCUGGGUAUUUGCCUUUGGUUUUUCUAAUAUCCAGCAGUCUACAGCCCAUAGGCUUGAUUUAAAACAAUGCUUCUUCCAGCUGCUGAGACUCAGGUUAGAGGACGCUCCUAAUACUGCCCGAGUGCUACACAUCUGAGGCUCAAAUGCGACUUGAAAUGCAAAAACAAAACUGGUGAACUA